rnacentral:rRNA from 1 species
UAAUGGAAAUUUGAAAUUUUUGGCGGUUAACAUUUAUGAUUAGGGGAGCUUGUUAAUAAUUAGAAUUAGCUCAUUAUAUUUAAAGAAUAAAAAUUUAGUUUAUUUAUUUCCGUUAUUAAAAUUUAUAAAUUUUUAUAUUUUAUUUAUUUAAUUAAUUUCAGGUCAAGAUGUAGUAUUUAUUAAAAUUAAUUAGCUACAAUUUUAAAAAAUUGGAUUUAUGAAAGUUUAGAUAUAUUGAAAUUGAACUUAGUUGUAAUUAUUUUUAUUAAAAGGUUAUGAAAUAGGGGGUUU